rnacentral:rRNA from 2 species
GAGACCCCAGGUCAGGCGGUACCACCCGCUGAGUUUAAGCAUAUCAAUAA